rnacentral:rRNA from 1 species
AGAGUUCGAUCCUGGCUCAGAACGAACGCUGGCGGCGCGUCUUAAGCAUGCAAGUCGAGCGAAUGGGCGCCUUCGGGCGCCAGGAAGCGGCGGACGGGUGAGUAACACGUGGGUAACCUGCCCCACGGUGGGGAAUAGCACAUGGAAACAUGUGGUAAUACCGCAUGAGAGGCAUGGCGUUGAGCCAUGCGGGAAAGGCCCUUAGGGGCCGCCGUGGGAUGGGCCCGCGGCCCAUUAGCUAGUCGGCGGGGUAAAGGCCCACCGAGGCGACGAUGGGUAGCCGGACUGAGAGGUUGAACGGCCACAUUGGGAUUGAGAACGGCCCAGACUCCUACGGGAGGCAGCAGCUAAGAAUCUUCCACAAUGGACGGAAGUCUGAUGGAGCGACGCCGCGUGGGCGAUGAAGGCCGGAAGGUUGUAAAGUCCUUUUCGGGCAGAGGAAUAAGCGCGCCAGGGAAUGGGCGUGCGAUGACGUUAAGCCCGGAAUAAGCCCCGGCAAACUACGUGCCAGCAGCCGCGGUAAUACGUAGGGGGCGAGCGUUGUUCGGAAUCAUUGGGCGUAAAGGGCGCGCAGGUGGGCUGCCAAGUCUGGCGUUAAAGCCCGGGGCUCAACCCCGGGAUGCGCUGGAAACUGGCGGCCUGGAGUGCAGGAUGGGGCGCUGGAAUUCCAGGUGUAGGGGUGAAAUCUGUAGAUAUCUGGAAGAACACCGGUGGCGAAGGCGAGCGCCUGGCCAUGCACUGACACUGAGGCGCGAAGGUGCGGGGAGCAAACAGGUUUAGAUACCCUGGUAGUCCGCACAGUAAACGAUGCGCACUAGGCGUCGGGGGCAACCCCGGUGCCGCAGCAAACGCGUUAAGUGCGCCGCCUGGGGAGUAUGCCCGCAAGGGUGAAACUCAAAGGAAUUGACGGGGGCCCGCACAAGCGGUGGAGCAUGUGGUUUAAUUCGAUGAUACGCGAGGAACCUUACCAGGGCUUGACAUGCAGAGGAGCGCUCGCGAGAGCGGGCGGCCCUUCGGGGCCUCUGCACAGGUGCUGCAUGGCUGUCGUCAGCUCGUGUCGUAAGAUGUGAGAUUAAGUUCUUCAACGAGCGCAACCCCCACUGCCAGUUGCCAGCAGGCAAGGCUGGGCACUCUGGCGGAACUGCCGGCGACAAGCCGGAGGAAGGCGGGGAUGACGUCAAGUCAUCAUGGCCCUUACGUCCUGGGCCACACACGUGCUACAAUGGUCGGUACAGAGCGAAGCGAGGCCGCGAGGCGGAGCGAAUCGCACAAAGCCGAUCCCAGUACGGACUGGAGUCUGCAACUCGACUCCACGAAGUUGGAUCGCUAGUAAUCGCGCAUCAGCCAUGGCGCGGUGAAUACGUUCCCGGGCCUUGUACACACCGCCCGUCACACCAUCCGAGUCGGAGGCACCCGAAGUCGCCAGCCUGACCUGAAAGGGGGGGCGGUUCCGAAGGUGCGUCCGGUGAGGGGGGUGAAGUCGUAACAAGGUAGCCGUACCGGAAGGUGCGGCUG